ACGGGGUGCAGCAGGCGCGAAAACUUCACACUGUGCGAAAGCACGAUGAGGGAAUCCCGAGUGCUGGCUCGUAAGAGUCAGCUGUUUUUCUGUCUAAAAAACAGAGAGAGUAAGAGCUGGGUAAGACGGGUGCCAGCCGCCGCGGUAAUACCUGCAGCUCAAGUGGUGGCCGCUAUUAUUGGGCCUAAAACGUCCGUAGCCGGUUUAGUAAAUGCCUGGGUAAAUCGUGUAGCUUAACUAUACGAAUUCCGGGUAGACUGCUAGACUUGAGACCGGGAGAAGCUAGAGGUACUCCUGGGGUAGAGGUGAAAUUCUGUAAUCCUAGGGGGACCACCAGUGGCGAAGGCGUCUAGCUAGAACGGGUCUGACGGUGAGGGACGAAGCCCUGGGGCGCAAACCGGAUUAGAUACCCGGGUAGUCCAGGGUGUAAACGCUGCUUGCUUGAUGUUAGUUGGGCUCCGAGCCCAAUUAGUGUCGGAGAGAAGUUGUUAAGCAAGCUGCCUGGGAAGUACGGUCACAAGGCUGAAACUUAAAGGAAUUGGCGGGGGAGCACAGCAACGGGUGGAGCGUGCGGUUUAAUUGGAUUCAACGCCGGAAAACUCACCGGAGGCGACGGUUACAUGAAGGCCAGGCUGAUGACCUUGCCUGAUUUUCCGAGAGGUGGUGCAUGGCCGCCGUCAGUUCGUACCGUGAGGCGUUCUGUUA
rnacentral:rRNA from 1 species